rnacentral:rRNA from 1 species
GACGAACCGAGCAAACGUUGUUCGGAAUCACUGGGCUUAAAGGGCGCGUAGGCGGGCUGCCAAGUCCGGGGUGAAAUCCUCCAGCUUAACUGGAGAACGGCCUCGGAUACUGGCGGUCUCGAGGGAGAUAGGGGCAUGCGGAACUGUAGGUGGAGCGGUGAAAUGCGUUGAUAUCUACAGGAACUCCGGUGGCGAAGGCGGCAUGCUGGAUCUUUUCUGACGCUGAGGCGCGAAAGCCAGGGGAGCGAACGGG